rnacentral:rRNA from 1 species
GACGAACGCGGGCGGCGUGCUAAACACAUGCAAGUCGAACGAUGAAGCUCAGCUUUUGUGGGGUGGAUGAGUGGCGAACGGGUGAGUAACACGUGAGUAACCUGCCCCCUUCUUUGGGAUAACGCCCGGAAACGGGUGCUAAUACAGGAUAUUCACUGGCUUUCGCAUGGGGGUUGGUGGAAAGGUUUUUCUGGUGGGGGAUGGGCUCGCGGCCUAUCAGCUUGUUGGUGGGGUGAUGGCCUACCAAGGCUUUGACGGGUAGCCGGCCUGAGAGGGUGACCGGUCACAUUGGGACUGAGAUACGGCCCAGACUCCUACGGGAGGCAGCAGUGGGGAAUCUUCGGCAAUGGGGGCAACCCUGACCGAGCAACGCCGCGUGAGUGAAGAAGGUUUUCGGAUCGUAAAGCUCUGUUGUAAGAGAAGAACGAGUGUGAGAGUGGAAAGUUCACACUGUGACGGUAACUUACCAGAAAGGGACGGCUAACUACGUGCCAGCAGCCGCGGUAAUACGUAGGUCCCGAGCGUUAUCCGGAUUUAUUGGGCGUAAAGCGAGCGCAGGCGGUUAGAUAAGUCUGAAGUUAAAGGCUGUGGCUUAACCAUAGUACGCUUUGGAAACUGUUUAACUUGAGUGCAGAAGGGGAGAGUGGAAUUCCAUGUGUAGCGGUGAAAUGCGUAGAUAUAUGGAGGAACACCGGUGGCGAAAGCGGCUCUCUGGUCUGUAACUGACGCUGAGGCUCGAAAGCGUGGGGAGCAAACAGG